GUCUCCAUAGCUCAAACGGUAGAGCGGCGGGUCGUGAUGGCCUAUUGCGAUUAGGGUUCGAAUCCCCGUGGAGACGCCA
rnacentral:tRNA from 3 species